rnacentral:snRNA from 1 species
GGCCGGGGGACGGACUGGG